UUGCUCUUAUGAAGUUAGCGGCGGACGGGUGAGUAACACGUGGGUAACCUGCCCAUAAGACUGGGAUAACUCCGGGAAACCGGGGCUAAUACCGGAUAACAUUUUGAACUGCAUGGUUCGAAAUUGAAAGGCGGCUUCGGCUGUCACUUAUGGAUGGACCCGCGUCGCAUUAGCUAGUUGGUGAGGUAACGGCUCACCAAGGCAACGAUGCGUAGCCGACCUGAGAGGGUGAUCGGCCACACUGGGACUGAGACACGGCCCAGACUCCUACGGGAGGCAGCAGUAGGGAAUCUUCCGCAAUGGACGAAAGUCUGACGGAGCAACGCCGCGUGAGUGAUGAAGGCUUUCGGGUCGUAAAACUCUGUUGUUAGGGAAGAACAAGUGCUAGUUGAAUAAGCUGGCACCUUGACGGUACCUAACCAGAAAGCCACGGCUAACUACGUGCCAGCAGCCGCGGUAAUACGUAGGUGGCAAGCGUUAUCCGGAAUUAUUGGGCGUAAAGCGCGCGCAGGUGGUUUCUUAAGUCUGAUGUGAAAGCCCACGGCUCAACCGUGGAGGGUCAUUGGAAACUGGGAGACUUGAGUGCAGAAGAGGAAAGUGGAAUUCCAUGUGUAGCGGUGAAAUGCGUAGAGAUAUGGAGGAACACCAGUG
rnacentral:rRNA from 1 species